rnacentral:rRNA from 1 species
AGAGUUUGAUCAUGGCUCAGAGUGAACGCUGGCGGCAUGCCUAACACAUGCAAGUCGAACGGUAACAGGCCCGCAAGGGUGCUGACGAGUGGCGGACGGGUGAGGAAUACAUCGGAAUUUGCCCAGUCGUGGGGGAUAACGUAGGGAAACUUACGCUAAUACCGCAUACGACCGAGAGGUGAAAGCGGGGGAUCAGCAAUGACCUCGCGCGAGUGGAUGAGCCGAUGUCGGAUUAGCUAGUUGGUAGGGUAAAGGCCUACCAAGGCGACGAUCCGUAGCUGGUCUGAGAGGAUGAUCAGCCACACUGGGACUGAGACACGGCCCAGACUCCUACGGGAGGCAGCAGUGGGGAAUAUUGGACAAUGGGGGCAACCCUGAUCCAGCAAUGCCGCGUGUGUGAAGAAGGCCUUCGGGUUGUAAAGCACUUUUAUCCGGAACGAAACGCGCUUGGUGAAUAGCCAGGUGAACUGACGGUACCGGAGGAAUAAGCACCGGCUAACUUCGUGCCAGCAGCCGCGGUAAUACGAAGGGUGCAAGCGUUACUCGGAAUUACUGGGCGUAAAGCGUGCGUAGGUGGUUUGUUAAGUCCGUUGUGAAAGCCCUGGGCUCAACCUGGGAAUGGCAGUGGAUACUGGCGAGCUAGAGUGCGGUAGAGGGUAGUGGAAUUCCCGGUGUAGCAGUGAAAUGCGUAGAGAUCGGGAGGAACACCAGUGGCGAAGGCGGCUACCUGGACCAGCACUGACACUGAGGCACGAAAGCGUGGGGAGCAAACAGGAUUAGAUACCCUAGUAGUCC